rnacentral:rRNA from 1 species
CAGUCGCCGCGGUAACACGAAGGGUGCAAGCGUUACUCGGAAUUACUGGGCGUAAAGCGUGCGUAGGUGGUGGUUUAAGUCCGUUGUGAAAGCCCUGGGCUCAACCUGGGAAUUGCAGUGGAUACUGGGUCACUAGAGUGUGGUAGAGGAUAGUGAAAUUUCCGGUGUAGCAGUGAAAUGCGUAGAGAUCGGAAGGAACAUCUGUGGCGAAGGCGACUAUCUGGGCCAACACUGACACUGAGGCACGAAAGCGUGGGGAGCAAACAGGAUUAGAUACCCCCGUAGUCCCUGUCUCUUAUAC